GAUGAACGCUAGCGGCAGGCCUAAUACAUGCAAGUCGAACGGAUAUAUGUUUUUCGGAAUAUAUAUUAGUGGCGCACGGGUGAGUAACACGUACAUAACUUGCCCUCAAGCGGGGGAUAGCCUUGGGAAACUGAGAGUAAUACCCCAUAGAAUUAUUGGACGGCAUCGUUUGAUAAUUAAAACUACGGUGCUUGGGGAUAGAUGUGCGUCUGAUUAGCUAGUUGGUGAGGUAACUGCUCACCAAGGCGACGAUCAGUAGGGGGCGUGAGAGCGUGGCCCCCCACACGGGUACUGAGACACGGACCCGACUCCUACGGGAGGCAGCAGUAAGGAAUAUUGGUCAAUGGAGGGAACUCUGAACCAGCCAUGCCGCGUGAAGGAUGACGGCCCUCUGGGUUGUAAACUUCUUUUGGAUGGGGCGAAAAACGGGAUUUAUCCUGGACUGACGGUACCAUCAGAAUAAGCACCGGCUAACUCCGUGCCAGCAGCCGCGGUAAUGUAGUCGUGUC
rnacentral:rRNA from 1 species